rnacentral:rRNA from 1 species
UACGUAGGGGGCUAGCGUUGUCCGGAAUCAUUGGGCGUAAAGAGCGUGUAGGCGGUCCGGUAAGUCCGUUGUGAAAGUCAAGGGCUCAACCCUUGAAUGCCGGCGGAUACUGUCGGGCUAGAGUCCGGAAGAGGCGAGUGGAAUUCCCGGUGUAGCGGUGAAAUGCGCAGAUAUCGGGAGGAACACCUAUGGCGAAGGCAGCUCGCUGGGACGGUACUGACGCUGAGACGCGAAAGCGUGGGGAGCGAACAGG